GGGGAAUUUUGGACAAUGGGCGAAAGCCUGAUCCAGCAAUGCCGCGUGCAGGAUGAAGGCCUUCGGGUUGUAAACUGCUUUUGUACGGAACGAAAAAGCUUCUCCUAAUACGAGAGGCCCAUGACGGUACCGUAAGAAUAAGCACCGGCUAACUACGUGCCAGCAGCCGCGGUAAUACGUAGGGUGCGAGCGUUAAUCGGAAUUACUGGGCGUAAAGCGUGCGCAGGCGGUUAUGUAAGACAGAUGUGAAAUCCCCGGGCUCAACCUGGGAACUGCAUUUGUGACUGCAUGGCUAGAGUACGGUAGAGGGGGAUGGAAUUCCGCGUGUAGCAGUGAAAUGCGUAGAUAUGCGGAGGAACACCGAUGGCGAAGGCAGCCAUCUGGCCUAAUACUGACGCUGAGGUACGAAAGCAUGGGGAGCAAACA
rnacentral:rRNA from 1 species